rnacentral:lncRNA from 1 species
CGGAACGCUACAUUAUCAUGUUCCGAAUCGCGAACCAACCACGUUUGGGAUCAUGCGAUCCAGAUCGCAAUUCGUUAGGGAUGGUGUGAAUUGUGAUAAUCCUGUCCGGAAGACUCCGAAAAAUUCAAGAGAGAUAGUGAUGAUCUUUCAACUGCUUCCAGCAAGAUCCUUAACCUUCCUUCCCGACCUCCCCAACACAUAUCGAACAGUACUCACCGAAUCUAUCACAAAUUAAAGAAAACAGAAUAAAAUAAAUCACAACAUCAACAGCUUAUGAAGGAAGAAACAAUCCUAAAAUAACCCUCCAACCAAAACAACCGAAAAAAUAGCACAAAACAAAAAAUUCUAUUGGACACCGAAAGAUAUCAACCGACAGAGGAGGAGGAAAGACGCAUUUGAAUCUCAACUUCAUAUUUUGUGGAAAAUUGGAAUUUGCUUCGAAAAAUUGUUGUUUGGCUAUCUCAAUCCUUGCUCUAGUUUCACAAGUUUGAGUUGGAAAUUGGGUGUUAAUUAAAAAGGCUGAUUUGAUACUAACCAUACACUGAUCUUCGUCGAAAUCUUAUAAAAAAAUUCCCAACUUAUCCUAAAACCCAUUUUAACCAUUUAAAGAAAACAUUCCAAUGCUCCGAUUCCUACUCUCUUAAAAACAUUCCAUAUUCGUUUGAAAAUUGAAAAAUCUUUGUCUAUGCCUUACUUUGAUGAAAAAUUAGGAUUUUCACCUUGAUUCAAUACGAAUUUGGUGACAGAUUGGAGCUCAUAUUUGCCUUUUCAUAUCAAAUCUAAAUUUGAAGAAAAGAAUUGGUGAAUGAUUGGAGAUGCACUUUACAGAUAGAUAUGAGUUCGAAGAACUUGUUCCGUAUCAGAAUUCAGAGAGAGAGAUUGAAUUUCACUUCCAAUUUGUAUGCGUCAAAAGUGACCCUAGACUCAUAUUCGAGCGAUCCAUUGUAAACGCAUCGUGAGAGAAACGAGAGAGAGACGGAGAAGAGAGAGAGAGAGAGAGGGCUCACUCUUGAAGGAGGUUGAGUAAGAA